UCCCUAAUAGCUCAGCUGGUUAGAGUGUGGUGUUGAUGUUGCCAAGUUUGCAGGUUCGAUCCUGGUAAGGGAC